UUGAGCAACACCAAGGAAAGAAAAAAGCAAGAAAACUGAGCAGUCAGUGGUGUGAGUUUGAAACCUGCGUGUACCUUACUAGAAAUGAAAUAAGCCCUGGGAGACAGCAAGAGCAGAGCUGAGCUCAAGAUAACCUGAAAUGUGACAAGCAAGGUGGAACUGGACAUGUCCAUGUGGCACAAUAAAAUGUUCCUGAUUGUAUUUGUAGCAAUUUCAUUUCUUUUUAUUUCCCAUGUGAAAAUGCUUGAUGAAAAUGGGAACCAAAACAUUUCAAAACAGGAGCAGGCAGAAGAAGGUGUGUUUGGUAUCAGACAAAAACGUGCAG